rnacentral:rRNA from 1 species
CCUACGGGAGGCAGCAGUGGGGAAUAUUGGGCAAUGGGCGCAAGCCUGAUCCAGCAACGCCGCGUGAAGGAAGAAGGCUUUCGGGUUGUAAACUUCUUUUAAGAGGGAAGAGCAGAAGACGGUACCUCUUGAAUAAGCCACGGCUAACUACGUGCCAGCAGCCGCGGUAAUACGUAGGUGGCAAGGGUUGUCCGGAUUUACUGGGUGUAAAGGGCGGGAAGCCGGGAAGACAAGUCAGAUGUGAAAGCCUGCGGCUUAACCGCGGAACUGCAUUUGAAACUGUUGAUCUUGAGUACUGGAGAGGCAGAUGGAAUUCCUAGUGUAGCGGUGAAAUGCGUAGAUAUUAGGAGGAACACCAGUGGCGAAGGCGGUCUGCUGGACAGCAACUGACGUUGAGGCGCGAAAGCGUGGGGAGCAAACAGGAUUAGAUACCCCUGUAGUC